UUAAAUUGAAGAGUUUGAUCAUGGCUCAGAUUGAACGCUGGCGGCAGGCCUAACACAUGCAAGUCGAACGGUAACAGGAAGAAGCUUGCUUCUUUGCUGACGAGUGGCGGACGGGUGAGUAAUGUCUGGGAAACUGCCUGAUGGAGGGGGAUA
rnacentral:rRNA from 1 species